UCUCUUUCCAUGCCCCAGAGAAGAGAAAAAGAAAAGGUCGGGGAAGAAAUAAAGCACGAAGGAAGAAGGAGAAGAGGGUGGCGAUGACAACGACGGUCACCGAGAAGGAUGCUAGAUCGACAGAGAAAAUAAGAGGAAUGAGGUGACGGCGGUGAUGAAGGCUACUGCCGCUGUUGGAUCCAUAGAACUGCCUCUACCUCAGAACGCCGUCGUAGCCGUUCCUUCGCCGAUGGAUGCUGCAAAUAGAGGAUGCUUCAAGUUCCACUGCUCCAUGGUAGGAAGUCAAUUAAAGCUCUUCUUCAUCAUUUUUAAUUUUCUCCACUGAAAACUGCCUCUAAAUCGAAUGCAAGAGAGCGAAAGCAAAUAGAGCAGUGAGGGAGAAAGAAGGAGGAAUGAGGCAAUGGCGGUAAUGGAGGCCACUGUGGAUGCCAGAUUUGCCACUGAAGAAGAAAGUCAUUCGAGAGAGGGGAGCUUCCAACGAGGCAUAUGCUACUCUGUUGUACGAUAUUGUAGAUUCAAGAACCAGUUUGGAGUUUUAUGUGAAGGUCACCAUUAUGCCAGAUUUAAGAAACAGAUUUACACGAAAGUCACCAUUAUGGACUGGGAUUCGGGAUUUGUUCAACCGCCUCUGAAUCGAAUGCGAGCGAAAGCAAAUAGAGCAGUAAGGGAGAAAGAAGGAGGUUAGAUUGAGAAAGAAAGGAGGAAUGAGUCAAUGACAUAUGCUACUCUGUUGUACGGUGAGAAAUUUUUUCUUGGGAAAUUGAUUUGCAACAGUAGAUCCAAGAAGGACAUGUUUGUUGUGAUCUCGAAUGGAGUCUCUGAUUGCCUGCAACCUCCCUCAGGGAUUAAUUAAUGUGAAUUAUGAAUCAGAAAUGGAACACGAAUUUAUUUCUGUAUUUCGGAAGGGAUGGAGAGGUCCUUAUGUUGCUGUUUCUCUGGAUAGGGUUGUGGAUGUUGAUAGAAAUCUAGGAGAUGAAAAGUUGGUUACUGAUGGAUUUCAAGAACCCAUAGAUACGUUAGAAUAACUGACAUUAGAUUUUGAGGCCAGUGAAUUUGAGCAAUAGAACAUCUGAGGUGGUGAUUGUCUCUCAUGGAGUCUUUGAUUAUGCCAACAAUGUCCUCCAGGAACAACUUCUCUGACAAAGCUCAAGGUGUGAAAUCUGUUGCAAUGUGCUCCGGCUGAAGUUGCACCUGCCAAAGCGCUUGCAUAAAUUGGAAGGACAAUAAUAAUACCAAGUAUGAAC